UGCUGUUUAAAAUGAAUGGAUCUCUAUUUCAAGAUGGCAUGUCUAGUACACUUACGUGCACCGCCUCACAAGCACACUGAAAUGACAGAAAAGGUAAGAAAAUAGAUGCAUAGACAAAAGAUUACAGAGAAAGGUGCUAUUAACAAAUGUGUUAUGUUACAGUUUCUUGGAACUUCCCAAGCAGAUGGGAAUUAUGAAACCAAAAGAAAAAUGACAUUCAUAGAAGAAGAAAUAAAAUUUGCCAAUAAGGUUAUUAAUAGAUGUUUAACAUCACUAACUGGACAUACUGCCAGUUGAAACAAUGAUGGCUGGGUGCAGUGGCUCACACCUGUAAUUCCGGCACUUUGGGAGGCUGAGGCAGGAGGACUGUUUGAGCCCAAGAGUCUGAGACCAGCCUGGGCAACAUAGCGAAACCCUGUCUCUACAAAAAAUACAAAAAUUAGCUGGGUGUGGUGGUGUCUGCCUGUAGUCUUGGCUACUCAGGAGGCUAAGGUGGGAGGAUCACUUGAGCCCAGGAGGACAAGACUGCAGUGAGCCGUGACUGUGCCACUGCAUACCAGCUUGGGCAACAGAGCAGAGCUGUUUCAAAACAAAACAAAACAAAACAGAACAGAAGAACAGAACAGAACAGAACAGGACACAAUGAGAACAUUUUUCAUCCAUCCAAUUGGCAAAUAAUUUCUAGAGCUGGUGAGAAGAUGGGGAAAUUGGAAUGUUUGGUCCCCGCUGGUGGGUGUGUUGUUGGUACAGCAUUUUUGGAUGGCAAUUUGGCAGUAUCAAGAUUUUAGGUGAAUAUACUCUUAGACCUAACAACUUCUUCUUAGAACGAACCUACAAAAAAUAGACAAGGAUAAGUGCAACGAUGUUCACUGUGGCGUGGGUUAGUAACAAUAAAACCUCCUAAACAUCUGCCAAAGGAAUAAUGGUUAAAUAAGGUAUGGCACGUGCAGUCUGUGGAAUUCCAGGCAGUUAUUAUAGACAAUGAGCUGGAUCCAUGUGAACUGAUGGGGAAGGAUGUUCCCACUACAGAAUAUAAGCACAUGAGGGCAGGGUUUUGCAUUUGCUUCCUCCUGUCUCCCUAAUGCCUAGAACAGUGUCAGACACAUAGUGCAUGCUCAGAAAGUAUUUGUCAAAUGAAUGGAUACACUUUCUAGGACACUAUGAAUUAGGACAAUGGACUGAAAAAUAAGCAGAAAAUUUAAACACACCAGUGACCACAGUGCAACUGCAACUGACGAUCAGUUUCCACCAAACUGCAACAGAGAGAGUGGCUUUGCCGGUGAGUUCUGUCAAACUACUGUGUUAUUUAAACAUUAUUUGGCCUUACAACUAAGGUGAGGCCCUUGGGCCUCUACUGAAGGCCCAAUGUGUUCAACAAGGGCUCUCCAUGCUGCCUAAGGGAACACAUCUGAUUUGCAGCCCUGAAUGAACUCUGGGACUCAUUCAUCAUGCAUGUACUUUCCUCAGAAGUUGCUCUUACCCAGCCUUGCGGGGCUGCAGCCAGAUCUCCCACGAGUGGUAAUGUAACAUGAAAACAAUGAGCCACAUCUUCAAAAUUCCAAAGGAAAAUGACCCUCAACCUAGAGUUUCCUAUCUAGGCAAGUAUUAAUCAAGUGUAAGGGCAGAAUAAUGACACUUCCAGAUGAGAGGUAUACAAAUUUACCUUACCUGCACCCAUUUACAAGAAGCUAGUGAAGGUUGUGCUCUUUAAAACAUGAUGGAAUUUACCAAGAAAGAGGAGGACUUGGCUUAGGAAAGAGAAGAUCCAGUAGAGAAGGGGAGUGACAGGAAUCUGCAGGAAAUGAUGAAGGGCAAUCCCAGGAUGUUAGCUGCACACCAGAGAUGAGGAGACAGACUAGGACCCCUGCUCCAUUAGACCUCCAGGUCCCAAACACCAGGUGAGCCAGGGCCUUGGCCUGUCUUGCCCAUGGCUGAUGAAGUGUUGUACUCUCUAUCAAACCCUGCAGUCUGGGCCAGCUGAGGACUCUCCUUGGAACCCAAAGAAGCAGUUUGUUUCCACCUACUCCCAAGAGCUGAAGAUUAUAAGCCAGAAGCAAACAAAGGCAGGCAAGGAAAUUUGAGGUUGUUGCAUCUGGAAGUAAACAUGUAGCUACUUCUUCUAAUAAAACAGAGCUCUUAGGUGCUCUGACCCUGGAGGAGAGGGAUUUCACUGAGAUGAGAAGGAUGCGUGAUGGGAUCCAUGGGCACUGGAGGCUUAUAUUUCCCUCUCAUGCCAUGCUCAAGUGAUGGGAGGGCAGAGGCAUGAGAGGGUGCUAAGGGACUAAACGCCAUGGCCACAGGAGCUCUGGCCAAGGCCCCAGGAGUCAAGAAGUGCACAGAGGGCAUGGAUGCGUUGGAAAGGGGAGGUGCUGGCCUUUUAAAGAUCAUAUGGCUUGGACAAGGAACAUGCAUGAGAGAAGUACUGGACUUUUCAUUUCCUGCCCUGGGCCUUGCCAGUGGAGGAGCACUGAGAUCUGCUAUAAUCAACACUCUUAUUGGAAGCAUUACUGUUCCGUGAAAAAUCGCCUGUGCCUGGGCUUCUCUUGC
rnacentral:lncRNA from 1 species